rnacentral:rRNA from 1 species
GAUGAACGCUGGCGGCGUGCUUAACACAUGCAAGUCGAACGGAAAGGCCCAAGCUUGCUUGGGUACUCGAGUGGCGAACGGGUGAGUAACACGUGGGUGAUCUGCCCUGCACUUCGGGAUAAGCCUGGGAAACUGGGUCUAAUACCGGAUAGGACCACAUUUUGGAUGGUGUGGUGGAAAGUUUUUCGGUGUGGGAUGAGCUCGCGGCCUAUCAGCUUGUUGGUGGGGUAAUGGCCUACCAAGGCGUCGACGGGUAGCCGGCCUGGGAGGGGGUACGGCCACAUUGGGCCUGAGAGACGGCCCAGACUGCUACGGGAGGCAGCAGUGGGGAAUAUUGCGCAAUGGGCGCAAGCCUGAUGCAGCGGCGCCGCGUGGGGGAUGACGGCCUUCGGGUUGUAAACUCCUUUCGCUAGGGACGAAGCGCAAGUGACGGUACCUGGAGAAGAAGCACCGGCUAACUACGUG